rnacentral:SRP_RNA from 1 species
GCUGGGCGUGGUGGUGCGUGCCUGUAAUCCCAGCUACUCAGGGGGCUGAGGCUGGAGAAUCACUUGAACCCAGGAGGUAGAGGUUGCAGUGAGCCGAGAUUAUGCCACUGCACUCCAGCCUGGGUGACAGAGUGAGACUCCGUCUCAA